AGAGUUUGAUCCUGGCUCAGAUUGAACGCUGGCGGCAGGCCUAACACAUGCAAGUCGAGCGGCAGCGGGAAAGUAGCUUGCUACUUUUGCCGGCGAGCGGCGGACGGGUGAGUAAUGCCUGGGGAUCUGCCCAGUCGAGGGGGAUAACUACUGGAAACGGUAGCUAAUACCGCAURCGCCCUACGGGGGAAAGCAGGGGACCUUCGGGCCUUGCGCGAUUGGAUGAACCCAGGUGGGAUUAGCUAGUUGGUGAGGUAAUGGCUCACCAAGGCGACGAUCCCUAGCUGGUCUGAGAGGAUGAUCAGCCACACUGGAACUGAGACACGGUCCAGACUCCUACGGGAGGCAGCAGUGGGGAAUAUUGCACAAUGGGGGAAACCCUGAUGCAGCCAUGCCGCGUGUGUGAAGAAGGCCUUCGGGUUGUAAAGCACUUUCAGCGAGGAGGAAAGGUUGGUAGCUAAUAACUGCCAGCUGUGACGUACUCGCAGAAGA
rnacentral:rRNA from 1 species